GCUCGCGGCCAACCGGCCUGUCACCCUAUCCACCCUCCAGGCCACCCCACCGAGUCUGAGAGGACCCCUCCGCCCAUCCGCUCCCCGGUCGGGGGCCGGGGCUCUCCCAGAGGUUCAGGGUUGUGCCAAGUUCACACAGUGCUGGAGUAAUAAGCCUAUUUCACAGAUGAGGAACCUGCCGCUCUGAGAGGGGCAGAAGCCUACGCAAGGUCUUGCAGCCAGGGGGCCGGGGAGCCGGGACCUGAAGCCAGACCAGAGAGCUGCACACAACUCCACUGAGUGACUGCCCACUGAGAAUUACACCUGCCACACAGGAGCCAGGAGCCGUGCCGGGCUCCUUCCACGCACUGCCUCGCUCACUCUCACCCCGGCCCCUGAGGCAGAUGCACAGAUGAGGAAACUGAGGCACAGAGAAGGCAAGCCACUGAGCCACUCUGUGCCUGUUCGCUCGUCUCCAGAUGGACACAGGACAGCCCUGCGUACCGUCCGGUGUUGAUGAGGAUUGAGCAAGGAACCACAAAGACCGUAAGAGACUGCCUCGCGCACAGUAAGUCCCCGAUACAUGUGGACGAUCGCGACAAUCCUUUCUCGAAUGUCUCCUACUUCCCCACUCCUGGGCCUUUCCACACGCUCGCUCCUGUUCCCUGCCUCACCCCCCCCCACCCUGCUACCUAACUGACCCGCGUCCUCCUGCUCCCAGCCCUUCCCUGACCGCUCAUUCGCACCGCACUCCUCCCUGCUCCUGCCACAUUUCCCCACCACUGCUUGUCCGCCUCUGACCGUCACUUCCUGUUUAUAUUCCUGGAAGAAAUGCUGCUUCAUUCAUCUUGGUGGCCCUGCGCCCGGCACGGGGUGCGGCUCUCAGUGGGUGUUCAGUAAGUACCGGCUGCCGGGCCGAUGGGUGACGGAUAAAGGAAAGGGUGGGAGCGUCCAAAGAUGAGGCCGGGUAAGCUGCACAGCAUAAGAGGCGGGGGGCCCAGACGGCCAGGACAGAGACCAAGGGCAGGGCCGCUGGGCCCCAGACCAAGGGAGAGGCCCCAGGGCCCCCAAAACGAGGUAGACCAUGCCUGCCAGAGGGUGGGAAACUAACUGGGACCAGCCAGAGAGGACUCCGACCACCGAAGGAGCCCAGAGCCCGAGUGACUUCGCCCACCGUCCCCGUUGUCACAGAGCCGAGUCCUGACCCUCCCGCCAGCCAGGCCCACGGCGCCUCACCGAGGACGUCCUUCCUGUGCAGAAAGGACACUUUGCGCAUGACGGCCAUCCUCGUCUUCUCCAGCCCGUCCCUGGUCCCGCUCUUCGCAGCCUUCAUGAGCUGGGUCAUCUGAGCAAAGGCAGAGGGGCUCAUCAGAGAAGCCGAAGGAGAGCCCAGGACGCCUGCCACCAAGGGCCACGCCGCCCCACGCAGGCCUCCCAGCCGGGGCCGCGCACAUCAUGACCCCAGGGCCCGUUCACUCCCAGGGACGGGGCGGCAGAGGCCAAGGGGGACAGCCAGGCAACGCCGCCCAAUGCAUCCCAGGAAGGGGUGAGAAGGGGCAUUUGUGCCCUGGAGAUCACCCCGGAGGAACCCUGUUUACUGGCAAAAGGAGGUCUUAACCCGAUGUCUCCCUUCGGGACAAAGUGCACGGGUAGGCGUCAAAUGAAGGCAGUGGCAUGACACAGGGGAAAGACCUGAGGCCUGGAGCGCCAGGCCUGGGUUCAAAUCCCAGCCGCGCCUCUUGGGACAAGUCACUUAGCCUCACUGAGCCUCAGUUUCCUCACUGAGAUGUGCCAGGGUCUAUGAAGACUAACGGGGGCCAGGGAAGCACGCUGGACAGUAAGAUGAUCCGCGCAAACGGCAGCGGUUACUUUGGGGGCAAGCAGAAGGAAGUGAGUUCACACCCCCACCCCAUCUGCCAAACCCAAGUGAGGCCCCCGUCCCUUGCCCCCCAAAGCAGCCAAGUUUCUGACUGCGCCGAGGCCCGGGAAGGGGAGGGAAGGCCGGAGCUGCCACGGAGCCGAGCACAGCUUCCCCGGCGUGGGGACGGACCACGGCCACCACACCUCGCGGCAGGCAAAGCAGGAUGUGAGGCGGGAGAGGACGCGUGCCCAGGAGGGGGAAGCCGCGAGCUGAGCACUGGGGGAGCCCGGGGCCCACAAACAGAGCCACUGUCCUGGAAGUUAUCCCUGCACCGCCCCCCAGCCCCCAGCCCUGGCAUCUUCCCCGACACACAGUCAGCCCUAUCCCACAGAACUUUUCUCAGUGAUGGAAAUGCCGACUCUCGGUGUGCCCACAGGGGGUCCACCAGCCACCAGUAACUCCUGGGCCACCUGAAAAGCGGCUCUUGUCACUAAGGACCUGAAGUCCCGGUUAUAUUUAAUUGUAACUGAUUUAAACGUAAAGAACCACAUGACUAUCAUAAUGGGCAGCGCAGUUCUAGAACACUCUCUCCUUCCAGAAACUCUCUGCUGAAGGCGGAGAGCACUCCCCUGGGGGGCUCUGGUCCCUGGAGGAGGAGGUCACCUUCCUCCAAGCAAACCCCCUGGUCCCCAGUGGAAGGGCCCCGAGCAGCCGGCCUUGCCAAAAACCCAUUGGGCGUGAGGCCUGGGGCACGGGGUGGUGGUGGCUUUUCAGGAACAAUGCUGACUUCUGGAAACACCCCUCGCCCCCCCCCCACACCCCGCAGGAGGAAAGGGAAGUCCCCUGGGGCCUCCCUGCAUGGAAAUGGUAAAAUUCUUCAGUGGUGAUUCUUGGCUUCUAGGAGUGGGGCUCGGGGGUCAGAAACACCUGUGAUAAUCUAAGGAGAAGCACGGAUGUCCGACCCCAGAAACUACACAGAGAUGCUCGUCCUCCUCUGGGGGUUGGGAGGGGUCACAAGCCCCAGAUUGGAAACCUCUGCUCUGAGCCCAGUUCCUUCCCGGAAGAAAGCUGGGGCAGGCGGCUAUCCUACAAACUCCCAAAGCGGUCUUCUCUUGCCGUUUUCCUGGGCAAAGAAGAGCAGCAAAUGAACAUCCCGGAAGGUGUCCCCACCAUCAACCACGGUGCAAAGGCUGGACCAGGCAUCUGAUUCCAGGGUCACAGCCAGGGCAAGAACAGUGGUCAUAGAAUCUUCCCUUCGAGGCUCCCUCUCCUCUCGGGGCCUUCGCCUUCUGAGAAGUUAAACCUGCCCCCCUCAGGUCACAGGCCCCCCAAGGCGUGUGUAUAGGAACUAUAAAGUGCCUCCCCUCCCCCGCCGCCGCCUCCUCCUCCUCCCCCUCCCCCUCCGGGGAGGCCUCGGGUUCUGAUGAAACAGGACGUGGCACAGGAUGGACAGCAGACCCCGGUUUGAAUCCCGGCUCUGCCACUGACCAGCGCUGUGACCAUCAGCCAGUUACUUCUCUCCAGCCUCACUGAUGCUAAAUGACAGCAGUAAGACAGCUGCCUCCCCGGAUGCCCUAGGGACAAAACAGUCAGACUUCCUUACCCUGGAUCUCUCUGAACGGCUCAGGGCGGGAGGAACGUUCAGCAUCACUCACUAAGGCUCACAUCUCUCCAGGCGUCACCCAAACCCACCGCCACAGUUACCAAAUUUGCGGAUUCCUGGGCCUCGGUCCAGACCUACAGAAUCAGCAUCUCUGGGGGUGCAGCCCAGGAAUCUGCAUUCUCCAAAGCACCCAGGUGAUUCUGAGGACCCCAGAGUUUGCAGACCGCCCCAGCCCAGCCCAGCCCACCCCCCAGGAAUUCUGGCACAGUGACAGUUUCACUCGGAGAGAGAGGCGAGAACGUGGAAAGGAGCAGGUGCCGGCACCACCGGUCCCGGCACAGGUGCGAGAGGCGGCCAGGCUCCGGCGUCGGGGCGGGCCCCUGCCAGGCCGCCGGGGGACAGACAGACAGUACCUUACAGUCGUACUUGUGCUUCAGCGCCUGCACGUCUCUCCCCCCGGCUCUUAAAGCCAAGAUGUCUCUCUUAGUCCUGGCGUAUCUCUCCUUUAGCCUAGUCAGGUCUGGAGAAAGCUGGAGCCCCCAAGCAGCCAGGCAGAAGGAGAGCAGGUGCGAGGAGCAGGCGGGACGGGAGGACACAGACAGGACAACAGAGGAGAAAGGAGACCAGGUGAGGUGGGACGUGGGGCCUGGGGAUGGCUCCCGCCAGGGAUCGGCUCCAGCAGCGUCCCACCCCAAUGCGCAGGCAGCGGGGACUGGGAGUCCUGGCUGCUGGGGGGCCAGGGGCAGGGGACCAGCCGGCCCCGCUCAGAGAAGGGGAACAGUGCCUAGAGGACAAGGACUGUGUCUCAGGCAUCCCCCCAUAUGCCAGGGGCCAGCGAGGGGCUGGUGACACAGGAGGUCCUUGGCAAGUUUGGGAGAUGGAUGGAUGGGCAGGUGCGUGGGCAAAUGCACAGGAAGACGGGUGAAUGGACAGAGAGCUGGUUGGACAGACAGAUGGACUAUAAACAGAGGGGUGAGUGGUUGGAUGGACAGACAGAAAAAUGGCUGGAUGAGCAAAUGGAUAAACUUGGGUGGAGGACUGCAGAUCUGGGUAAAUGGACGGACAGACGGACAAGAAGAUGGAUAAAAACCCAGGGGGACCAGGGGAUGGAUGGAAGCAGUGCCGUGCCGGUAAAUAUUUAACACGCGCUUCUCCAGGAAAUAGACCCCUGCUUUGUUGGCUUUCCAUGAUGUCACUACGCCACCAUGGCAAAUUUCAAGCCACUAGUGUGACGUCGCUGAAUGCGGAGUCGGAAAGAGCGCGCAAUUGGUUCCUAGUUCUCGUGAGCUAGGAAGAGCGGACUCUGGCACGCCGCUGCAGGAAGGAGUGGGCAAACAGAGCAAGGGACGGACGGACGGACAGACGGACGGAGGGCAGGUGGGCGUCUGGAUGGAAGGAGGGGUGGCUGACUAGCUUACACGCCACCUGGGAAGACGGAUGGAUGGAGAGACAAACACAGACAUUCAAACGCAUGAGCAACACUGACAUCCGGUGAAGCAUUCAGAACCCCAAGAAGGUACUACUUCCGGAGUAGACCAGGAAGGGGACCACGAGCAGGAGCGCUGGAGGCAGGCGGGCCUGGGUUUAAGUCGCCACCCCCCGCUCACUAGCUGGAAUAGUGUCUUCACCUCUUGGAGGGACACCUUCCUCACUGGGAAAGCGGCCCGGAUGAUAACCACUUCACGGAGUUACUGAGAAGAUGGAAUGGGAAACACGUGUAGACCCCAAGACUUAGCAAGCACUCAAAACAUGGAAGCUAGUAUUACGCUAUCUUUCAGAUUAUAAGUGCUCAAUAUUUGUUGAAUGGGUGGAUAGUUGGUAGGAUGGAUGGACGGAUGGAAGG